CUUCAGAUAACAGACUCAUCCAAACGACCACUCAAGGUAACAAACCCUACCCCCAUCCCUGCCCCCGCGUCGCUCCUCUCGGGGCGACUCGGGAGGCGGCGAACCCUAACCGCCGCGUUCCCCUCCCCUGCUCCUCCCCCCUCGCCGCUGCCAGAGGAGGUCUCCGGCGAAGCCCGCGCGCCUACCAAUGAUGGUGGCGGCGAGGAUCUGGCCGCUCCGGCUCUGCUAGGAGGGCUUCGGCUCACGAGGCGGCGGCCUCGGAUGGUGCGGCGGUGUUGGUUUGGCGGCAACCAAUGCUCGAUUGGUGGUGCUCUCCCUCCUCCUCGGCCGUGUGGACGGCGUGGCGGCGGGCGUUGGGCGCAGGUUGCACUCUCCUCUUCUUCUCAUCCUCUCCCCCCAUCAGACCUGGCCCCUGGCGGCCGCUGGUCGCCGGAUCCACUGUCGACGGGGCUGCUGGAGGGGUGGUAGCGGACCGGGAGAAAUCCCUGGCUGGAUUCCCGGCCACGACGACGGCGACACCUCCUGGUGUCGUCUUCCUCCUUGGAGGCGCCGUCGAGGGGCGAUGGGUGUGGUGUCAAGUGUGUGGCGGCUUUGCAGGAGGAGUUGGCGCCAUGGUCUUCUUGUUGGGGCAAUGCUCUGCUAUUUGGUUGUUCGUUGCCUGUCUUGUGGCUGUUUGUUCGCUGGCUCUCAGUGCCAUGGCAUGGACAGGGUGAAGAUAGGGUUCUUUCCCCGUUGGCAGCAACAGGGCAUGGAAGGCUUGAACUUGGUGCUGAUUCCAGCGGGUGCUGUCCUGCUAUCUGCAUUGGCUGCCUUGGCUCCCCUGCUUGCAAGUUCUUCUUCAACCUCGCUCAACAGCAGCUUCUCUUCCUUGGGUGUGGAUUACUGUGUCUUGAAGAGACUCUUCGUUUGGUGUUCUUAGCGCAGCAGGUGGGUCGUGCUGAGAAUCUCCCAUGGUGACCUGGAAGCUUGUACCAAUCCUUGCUCAGGGGAGCAUUGCCACUUGCCAACGGUACGGCGCCCUUCGAUCCAGGGCGAGGGGCAGGGGUCCCCUUCGGAAGUGGAGAGGGUCAAUACGAGAACGGCGUUCACCUAUCGAAGUAGAUGAGGGCAUGUCCAUCUUUGCUGGGCUGUAACUCCCCCUGAAGUUUGCUCUCUGUCAGGGUUAUGGUGCUCCACUCGCGCAUUGAAGGGCUUCGGCAAUAUCAAGCUAGUCUGUACUGUUUAUUUCCUGUUUGCUUGUUCGUGUUGGGGCUAGUAGGUUGUUUCGGGCAUCACCUUGUAUCUGCCGUCUUUUUUUUGUUUUCCUUUUUUUGCUUGUUUGCUAUGCUUCGUUGUAAUUGCGGGUGUUUGUAUCUCCUGGCCGGUUGUUGGCUUUGUUAAUUCAAAGCCGGGCUCUUCUUGAGCCUUCGUUCUAAUAAAAAAAAGGUAACAAACCCU
rnacentral:rRNA from 1 species